rnacentral:rRNA from 1 species
CAAAAUGCGAUACUUGGUGUGAAUUGCAGAAUCCCGUGAACCAUCGAGUUUUUGAACGCAAGUUGCGCCCGAAGCCACUCGGCUAAGGGCACGUCUGCCUGGGCGUCACGC